rnacentral:rRNA from 1 species
GACGUAGGGCGCGAGCGUUGUCCGGAUUUAUUGGGCGUAAAGAGCUCGUAGGCGGCUCGUUGCGUCGGCUGUGAAAACCCGCAGCUCAACUGUGGGCUUGCAGCCGAUACGGGCGGGCUGGAGUUCGGUAGGGGAGACUGGAAUUCCUGGUGUAGCGGUGAAAUGCGCAGAUAUCAGGAAGAACACCCGUGGCGAAGGCGGCUCUCUGGGACGGUACUGACGCUGAGACGCGAAAGCGUGGGGAGCAAACAGG